UCAGCGAAAACAAGCAACUAUACAAUAUCAAUCACCAAAACCAAUCUACAAUUCCAUUUUAAUCCUCAAAUCUCAAGCCAUCAUCACUGGUAUAGUGUGUGUGUGCAACAUCCAUAAUAACCAAUACUGACUCAAAUUUUAAUACAGAACCAAUCUCUUAGAAGGAAUCAUGCAGCGCAAACUUAAAAAUUUCAAAAAUAGACAGUUCCAACUAAAACUAAGCAAUCACUAAUCUCAGGGGUUCAAGCAAGGUACUUAUACUUUAUUCAUAUACUUCCUUCUUCUUUUUUUUCUUUUUUUUUAAAUAAGAGGGCUUUUUGCUCUUAUUUCCCGAUUUAUUCUUUUUUAUACACAUAGCUAUGCAAUGUCUUAUUCUCUUAGGCUUUUC
rnacentral:lncRNA from 1 species